UACGAAGGGGGGCUAGCGUUGCUCGGAAUCACUGGGCGUAAAGGGUGCGUAGGCGGGUCUUUAAGUCAGGGGUGAAAUCCUGGAGCUCAACUCCAGAACUGCCUUUGAUACUGAGGAUCUUGAGUUCGGGAGAGGUGAGUGGAACUGCGAGUGUAGAGGUGAAAUUCGUAGAUAUUCGCAAGAACACCAGUGGCGAAGGCGACUACCUGGCCUGUUCUUGACGCUGAGGCGCGAAAAGCUAGGGGAGCAAACGGG
rnacentral:rRNA from 1 species